UUCCAGCCCAUGAUUAGUUGUCCUAAGUCUAUUGGGAAUUAAUAGUCUUAGAGGAUUAAAUUGUUUUCCCAAUUGGAGUUGCUUUCCCAAUUGGAGUUAUUUACCCAAUUGGAGUUAGUUUCCCAAUUGGAGUAGGUUUUAUAACUAGUUUCCAAUUAGGAUUAAUAAUCCUUAUUGAAGAAGACCUUUAUUAUGUCUAUAUAAAUGGGCUAUUGUACUAGUUUUAGGAAGGGAGCAAAACAAUAAAUUGUAUACCACUCAAGGGAUUAGAGUGAGAGAAUAUUGUAAAGUGUGUGCGAGAGAAAAGAAAAGAGAUAGUGUAUUUCUUGUUCUUGUUCUUUCAGGUUUUUCGUCAAGUCCUAGUUCUAGAGAUUUGGCAAGAUUAUUGGUUGUACUCAUUAUUGAUAUAGUGAAAGAUUGUUAUUGCUGUCCCGUGGACGUAGGCACAUAUUCCUGAACCACGUAAUUUCUUGGUGUUAUUUAUCUUGGUUAUUUGUUUUUCCCAUUCUUAAACGCGAUAUUCUCAACAAGUGGUAUCAGAGCCUGGUUCGGCUGAUAUCCGUUUAGAAUGGAGGGUUCAAUUAUGAUGAAACUCACCCGCUCCAAUUGGGUUACGUGGAAAUCAAGAAUGGAGGACAUGCUUUAUUGUAAAGAUCUCCAUGAGCCAAUUGAAGGUGUUAAGAGCAAGCCAGAAAAUAUGUCUGAUGCCAAUUGGACCAAGAUGAAUCGUAAAACUAUUGGUACGAUUAGACAAUGGGUGGACGAGAGCAUCUAUCACCAUGUGUCUAAAGAAACUGAUGCGCAAGCUCUUUGGAAGAAGUUAGAAUCCCUCUUUAAGAAGAAGACCGCUGCCAAUAAAGCAUUCCUUAUCAAAGAGCUUGUCAACAUGAAGUAUGCGGAAGAUGUUAGUGUAACCGAGCACUUGAACAACUUUCAGAACGUGAUCAAUCAGGUAGCCACUAUGGGUUUGAAUAUUGAAGAAUAGCUGCUAGCACUUUUAUUGCUAGGAUCCUUGCCAGAUAGUUGGGAAACCUUCGUCGUAACUGUAAGCAAUUCGGCUUCUAAUGGUGUAUUGUCUAUGGAUGUCGUUAAGGAUAGCAUGUUUAAUGAAGAAACAAGGAGAAAAGCUUCAGGUGCAAGCGCUGGACAACUCUUUGUCAGUGAGAAAAGAGGCAAAAGUUCUGAUGAGACGAGAUUCAAUGGCGACUGCCACUAUUGUGGGAAAAAGGGUCACAUGAAGAAGCAUUGUCGUAAAUGGAAAAAGGAACAAAAGGAUGGGAACAAUAUUGCAAGUGUUGUGACUUACGAUGAAGAGCUUCUUUAAUGCAGAUGAUUGAUGGUUUUCUAGCAAAGAAGUCUAUAGUUGCCUUUGCCAAUGAUGAUGAUAGUUCUGAUCAGGGGGAGCCUGGUCAAGAUAAAUCUAAUCAAGAGGGUCUUGGUUAAUGAGUAGUUCAAUCAAAGGGAGCUUGGUUAUGGGUAAUUCGAUCAGGGGGAGUCUGGUCAUGAAAAGUUCUAACAAUGGGAGUUUGGUCAAGAGGAGCAAUCCUAUUAUGGUAUACCUUCCUCAUGGUCUGGAGGGGGAGAUUGUUGGGUUUUUUCCAGCCCAUGAUUAGUUGUCCUAAGUCUAUUGGGAAUUAAUAGUCUUAGAGGAUUAAAUUGUUUUCCCAAUUGGAGUUGCUUUCCCAAUUGGAGUUGUUUACCCAAUUGGAGUUAGUUUCCCAAUUGGAGUAGGUUUUAUAACUAGUUUCCAAUUAGGAUUAAUAAUCCUUACUGAAGAAGACCUUUAUUAUGUCUAUAUAAAUGGGCUAUUGUACUAGUUUUAGGAAGGGAGCAAAACAAUAAAUUGUAUACCACUUAAGGGAUUAGAGUGAGAGAAUAUUGUAAAGUGUGUGCGAGAGAAAAAAAAAAGAUAUAGUGUAUUUAUUGUUCUUGUUCUUUCAGGUUUUUCGUCAAGUUCUAGUUCUAGAGAUUUGGCAAGAUUAUUAGUUGUACUCAUUAUUGAUAAAGUGAAAUAUUGUUGUUGUUGUCCCGUGGACGUAGGCACAAAUUGCUGAACCACGUAAUUUCUUGGUGUUAUUUAUCUUGGUUAUUUGUUUUUCCCAUUCUUAAACGCGAUAUUCUCAACA
rnacentral:lncRNA from 1 species